CCUACGGGAGGCAGCAGUAGGGAAUCUUUCACAAUGGGCGAAAGCCUGAUGCAGUAACGCCGCGUGCAGGAUGAAGGCCUUCGGGUUGUAAACUUCUUUUAUAAGCGAGGAAUAUGAUGGUACCUUAUGAAUAAGGAUCGGCUAACUACGUGCCAGCAGCCGCGGUAAUACGGAGGAUACGAGCGUUAUCCGGAUUUAUUGGGUUUAAAGGGUGCGUAGGCGGCCUUGUAAGUCAGGGGUGAAAGUCUGUGGCUCAACCAUAGAAUUGCCGUGGAAACUGGGCGGCUUGAGUACAUUUGAGGCAGGCGGAAUGCGUGGUGUAGCGGUGAAAUGCUUAGAUAUCACGCAGAACCCCGAUUGCGAAGGCAGCUUGC
rnacentral:rRNA from 1 species